rnacentral:rRNA from 1 species
CAAUAGCGUAUAUUAAAGUUGUUGCAGUUAAAAAGCUCGUAGUUGGAUUUCUGGUUGAAGCGACCGGUCGGGCGUUGAUCCGUCUGCACUGGAGUCGGUUUUGGCCAUCCUCUAGGAAAGUGCGUCUGGUAUUAAGUUAUCGGGCGUAUGAUCCUGGUCUUUUACUGUGAAAAAAUUAGAGUGUUUAAAGCAGGCCUUCGCCUUGAAUACAUUAGCAUGGAAUAAUAAGAUAGGACUUUGGUCUAUUUUGUUGGUUUGCAGACCGAAGUAAUGAUUAAUAGGGAUAGUUGGGGGUAUUUAUAUUCCGAUGUCAGAGGUGAAAUUCUUAGAUUUUCGGAAGAUAAACUUAUGCGAAAGCAUUUACCAAGGAUGUUUNCAUUA